UACGGAGGGUCCAAGCGUUGUCCGGAAUCGCUGGGUGUAAAGGGUGCGUAGGCGGACUCGUAAGUCAGGGGUGAAAGCCCGCGGCUCAACCGCGGAACUGCCUCUGAUACUGCGAGCCUUGAGUCCUGGAGGGGCUGGCGGAAUUCGUGGUGUAGCGGUGAAAUGCGUAGAUAUCACGAGGAACACCGGAGGUGUAGACGGCCAGCUGGACAGGUACUGACGCUGAGGCACGAAAGCGUGGGGAGCGAACAGG
rnacentral:rRNA from 1 species